rnacentral:rRNA from 1 species
CGAGCGGAACGAGUUAUCUGAACCUUCGGGGAACGAUAACGGCGUCCAGCGGCGGACGGGUGAGUAAUGCCUAGGAAAUUGCCCUGAUGUGGGGGAUAACCAUUGGAAACGAUGGCUAAUACCGCAUAAUGCCUACGGGCCAAAGAGGGGGACCUUCGGGCCUCUCGCGUCAGGAUAUGCCUAGGUGGGAUUAGCUAGUUGGUGAGGUAAGGGCUCACCAAGGCGACGAUCCCUAGCUGGUCUGAGAGGAUGAUCAGCCACACUGGAACUGAGACACGGUCCAGACUCCUACGGGAGGCAGCAGUGGGGAAUAUUGCACAAUGGGCGCAAGCCUGAUGCAGCCAUGCCGCGUGUGUGAAGAAGGCCUUCGGGUUGUAAAGCACUUUCAGUCGUGAGGAAGGUAGUGUAGUUAAUAGCUGCAUUAUUUGACGUUGGCGACAGAAGAAGCACCGGCUAACUCCGUGCCAGCAGCCGCGGUAAUACGGAGGGUGCGAGCGUUAAUCGGAAUUACUGGGCGU